UUGGAAUCAACGGUGGUGGAGAUGUAGCCAUCGGACAGCCCCAACUCCCCUGUUCGGUGAGGGGAGGACGGGGGCUGUGGAUGUGGAGGACAGCCGUGUGACGAUAUGCGCGGAAAGAAACAAGAAGACCCGUUAGAUUUUAAAAAAUGGACGGAGCCGGCGGGACGUCACGAUGAGCCGUCGCCACAAAGCUCAAUACGUCGCUCACGAACGCGCUCAUUUGGCUCCCAGUCCGGAGGGACCGCUGGUUACCAGGAGCUCAUCCAAGCCCAGUGCAACCCACCUUUCUGCACCUGAGGAAGAAACAAAAAUGACACGCAAAAGCACCAGAAGUGAAGAUGAGGGUUUCCUCCAACUUCCAGGUGUGUUGGAGGUGGUGCGAGUGUGUCUGGGCUGCUGGCAGAGAGCUGUGUUUGCAGGCCUGAGGGGUUGUCUGUUAUCUUUGGUUAUCUAGCUGUAUGAGUGAUGUACAUUUUUCAUAAAGCUAGAUAACCGAAAGUAACAAGAAUCCCAUUACACGCCUGCACGGUGGAAGAAAACUCAAUGAAAAGCCCAAGAAGACCCAGGAAUGAGCCCGGACAAUGGACGCUGCCAAACGAUGACGUGAAGGUUUCUGAUCAGUCUGAAGCUAAUCGUCAGAUCUUUGCCUCUUUGCUCUUCUGGACUCUGAUUGCAGUGAUGUUCGUCUCACCCAGGACUAACUGUGAAUAUACAGGAGGAAACACACCGAUUCUGUGAGAGCAGCCGUCUCCAACGACUGGACAGUGGACAGAGUCAAAACUGUCAGGUCUUAAAACUGGUAAUGGCUGCAAACGUGACUCUUUUCAGCUGCUACUGCAGCAUAUCUUUAUUUGAAUGAAGACAGAAACAAACCAGAAGACAGACAAACAUUUGGCCAUCAUGAGGCUGAAACAGAGAGUAAAGGACGGCAAAAGUGAUCUGUGUGUGUGUGUGUGUGUGUUGUAGAGUGAGUUCUUGGGAGCUGCUCUGCACAGCUGUUCAGGAAACAUCUGUACUACAUUUUAAUGUAGGUCAGAGCUUAGAUCAUUCUCUUUCGAACACACACACACACACAAACUCAGUCAUCUGAGAUUCAAACUAAUUUUAAAAAGGUUAGAUGAUGAUAAAAAUAGUUGCUGUAGUGUUCUGAAUGUUUGGUAUCAUUGAUUCGUUCCUCAAUGUGUUAUCCUUCAGAUAAGAAUCUUAUCUUAGAUCUUAAAUCAUAGAUUUUACAUUUAAUUUUCUUCGUUAUCUUUUGACUUAUAUUUGUUUGUAAUUAUUUCAGUAAGCAAUUAAAUGUGUCUAUUUGUCUCAUUUAAAACUUUUGAUGUUUUAUUCUAAUUAUUGACAAUCUGCGUGACUGGAUUACUUGAAACAUGUGAAAUUAUUUUUCUUUUGCAAUGACAAAAAUGUUUUAUGGACUUGAUCCAUCAACUAUGAAUUGUAUAACAAUCGUUUAGAUGAUUUUACUAUUUUUUAGAAACAUUUGUUUUUCACAUUUCAUUCUCUCAUAUUAGAGUGUUUUGUAUAUUUAUAUCUUAGGGGUGUAUAACCUUAACAUGCUAAACAAUUUGGUGGUAAAAUCAACUCUUAUGGAGGUCUUUCCAAAGCUUUGUUACAGCAAGUAUUUUUAUUUUCAUUUUUAGUAUACACAUUUAAUCAAUUGUGUCAUUAUCCCUGCAGGGAGCGUUUUGUGCAAUCAACACUACAAUAUGUUUGAUUUUUUUCUCUAUGCAAAAGAAAUGAGUGGGAUGUUUUUAAGUUUGCACUAUUUGUAUAAGUAUUUGCACAAUAAUUGUAUUGUUAAGUUUGCACAUUAGCAGGGAAAUAUACGGGUUAAGUUUGUGUGAGUGAAUUGAGAUGUUAUACUAAUAUGCACUAUAUGAGCACAGGUGCAAUGUGUGUUGAAGUGUGUGUUUUUGGAGGUUUGAUGAGAAACAGUGAAUACAGCCUUUUUCUGUUGACUUAGUUGGUAAUUGUCAGGAAAAGUGGAUUUAUUCCACAUUUCAUUUGUUAAAUCAGUUCCUCUUUUAAUGUAAUAUGAAUAUGUGAAUGAAUGGGAUUUUGAAUGGGAUACUAUUUAGAGGGAAUAACUGAUUAUAUUAUAAUGCACUAUGAAUGACUGUUUUAGGAGUCUUCUAAGAAGGAUUUGCACACGAGCUGCUGUUAAUGAGCUCCAUGUCUGUACUAUGCAACGGUUUCACCUGCAGUUUGUGUCAAUCAAUAAAAGUAUUCAUGUUUAC